rnacentral:lncRNA from 1 species
AACCCUAAAAACCUUAUUUUAUGAUCCUANACCAAAAUUUGAAAAUUAUAUUUUGCAUACAAAAAAAGAAAAAUCAAAAUUCUCAUAAACUAGAAAUAUAAGGUAGGGGGCAGAUUGUUAGGGGUCGCAAGAUGACAGUUUUCAAUAGUUUUCAAGAUGCGAAAUUAAUCCUCCCUUGGGCCUUAUGGGUUAUUUUGCAACCCUAAAAACCUUAUUUUAUGAUCCUAAAUCUUUAAAUAAUCAGAAUAUGAAAUCCAAAAUGUCAUAAAUCGAACAACAAUGUGAAAAACUAACAAAGAUUCAUGACAAUUUUAUUUAAAAAAUAGACAUCUAACGAUUUAAUCACGUGUGUCCGCUCUAAUACCACUUGUUAGAUCUUUAUGCAAAUAAAUGCAACUAACCCAAAAAUCACAUGUAAACCGUUAGACAAUUGUUAAUGUAUUUAAUUAUAAACACUAACCAAAAUUCAA